AUGCUCAGUCGCAUCGCCGCAAUGCGGCCGCCGCCGCGCGCGGUUGCGGCGGCGCUCGUCGGCGGGGCCGACGCCGGCUACUCCUCCAAGUCCACCUCCCUUCCCCAGAAGCAGCAGCGCGUCCGCGACCACGCCUUCGACGGCAUCAUGGAGGUGCAGAAGCGCGUCCGCCGCUUCCUCGCGCUCCACGCGCUGCUCCUCUACGCCGCCACCCCCACCGCGCCCUCGGGCGCCUUCUCCGCCGGGGGCAGCGGCGCGGUCUCCGUGCCCUUCUCCCGCCUCGGCGCCCUCUCGCGCCGCCAGCUCCGCCUCGCGCCCCUCGACGCCGGCAACUUCAUGCUGCGCCACCCGCACGCCUUCCACCUCUUCCUCCACCCCGUCCACCGCAUCCUCCACGUGCGCCUCACCCCGCGCGCCUCCGCCGCGCUGCGCCUCGAGGCCGACGCCAUCGCCUCCCUGCGCCCCGGCGCCGUCCUCCGCCUCCGCAAGCUGCUCCUCCUCGCGCCUCCGCACCACCGCCUCCGCCUAGAGCACAUCCGUCUCCUCCGCCGCGACUUCGGCCUCCCCGACGACUUCGCCGACUCCAUCAUCCUGUCCAAUCCCGCUCUGUUCCGCCUCACGCCUGACGGGUUCGUCGAGUUUGUGCCCUCCCCUGACGACCCACCCGACCUCACCGUCGCCGCGGUCGAGCGCUCCCGGGAGCGCCACUACCGCGAGCACCGCGCUCCCGGCGCCGGCGAGGAGGACGCGCGCUUCGCGUUCCCCACCCGCUUUCCGCCGGGCUUUAAGAUUGGCAAGUAUUUCCGCAUUGCAGUUUGGAAGUGGCAGCGCCUCCCCUACGCUUCCCCGUAUGCGGACGUCUCUGGCCACGACCUGCGCUCACUUGAGGCACAACGCCGCAUGGAGAAGCGUGCUGUCGCUGCUGUCCAUGAGCUGCUCUCUCUCACUGUCGACAAGCGUACCACGCUAGAGCGUCUCGCGCUCUUCCGCGACGCCCUUGGCGUGCCAAAGAAGAUUAAAGAGUUCUUGCUUAAGUACCAGGGGAUAUUUUACAUAUCAACAAGAGGAAACCAGGGGAAGCUGCACACUGUGUUCCUCCGGGAGGCCUACUAUAAAGGGGAGCUUUUAGAUUCCAAUGAGAUACAUGACGCAAGGCGGAAGCUGGAGGAGCUGCUCUUGAUGAGCCGAGAGAAGGCGAAUUUGGAUCGUAUGUUCACCAGCAUGGGUCGUGGAUGGGAUGAGCUUGGUGGUGGUCGUCGUGGUGGAGCAGAAUUGAGGGAGAAGUUUCUUGGGGAUGCAGGUGGCAGAAAGAGGAAAGUUGGUGCUGACGAUGAGGACGAUGGUGCCGAUAGUGGGGAGGACUCGGGAGUUGAAUCACUCUACAUCGACUGA
rnacentral:rRNA from 1 species